AAGGGAGAGUAACGGGUGGUUACUUACCCUCAGGACCGGAAUAGUGUCGGGAAACUGACAGUAAUGCCGGAUAAUAUCUUUGGAUCAAAGGUGUGAUUCCGCCUGGGGAUAGGACCGCUUUCUAUUAGCUUGUUGGCGGGGUAAUGGCCCACCAAGGCUGAGAUGGAUACCGGGUGUGAGAGCAUGGCCCGGCUCACUGGGACUGAGACACUGCCCAGACACCUACGGGUGGCUGCAGUCGAGAAUCUUCGGCAAUGGGCGAAAGCCUGACCGAGCGACGCCGCGUGCGGGAUGAAGGCCUUCGGGUUGUAAACCGCUGUCAGUUGGGAGGAAGGUGCUGUGAAGAGCAGCAUUUGACCGAUCUUCAGAGGAAGGACGGGCUAAGUUCGUGCCAGCAGCCGCGGUAAGACGAACCGUCCGAACGUUAUUCGGUAUCACUGGGCUUAAAGAGUUCGUAGGCGGCCUAGCAGGUGAGGUGUGAAAUCCAACGGCUCAACCGUCGAAUUGCGCUUCAAACCACUAGGCUCGAGGAUGGCAGGGGUGUUGGGAACAGAUGGUGGAGCGGUGAAAUGCGUUGA
rnacentral:rRNA from 1 species